CAGAAACAGCCUCGCUCUGUCGCCCAAGCCGGAGUGCAAUGGCGCUAUCCUAGCACACUACAACCUCCAACUCCUGGGCUCAAGCAAUGCCUCCUGCCUCAGCCUCCCAAGUAGCUGGGACCACAGGUCCCUGCACUGGGCUGGAAGUGGGAUUUUAGAGCAGUAUUGCCAGGAGACUUACAGGAGGACCGACCUGGGCCUGGUGGGGGCGAUCAUUCUGGGGCUGUGACAGGGACUAAGCUGC
rnacentral:lncRNA from 10 species